UUUGGAGGGCAAGUCUGGUGCCAGCAGCCGCGGUAAUUCCAGCUCCAAUAGCGUAUAUUAAAGUUGUUGCAGUUAAAAAGCUCGUAGUUGAAUUUCGGGAUCGAAUUGUUGGUCGUGCCUCGGUACGCACUGGCAUUAUCGGUUCCUACCUUCUGAAGAACCGCGAUGUCAUUAAUUUGGUGUCGUGGGGAAUCAGGACUGUUACUUUGAAAAAAUUAGAGUGUUUAAAGCAGGCUUACGCUUGAAUACAUUAGCAUGGAAUAAUGAAAUAGGACGUUUGAUCCUAUUUUGUUGGUUUCUAGGAUCGACGUAAUGAUUAAUAGGGAUAGUUGGGGGCAUUAGUAUUCAAUUGUCAGAGGUGAAAUUCUUGGAUUUAUUGAAGACUAACUACUGCGAAAGCAUUUGCCAAGGAUGUUUUCAUUAAUCAAGAACGAAAGUUAGGGGAUCGAAGACGAUCAGAUACCGUCGUAGUCUUAACCAUAAACUAUGCCGACUAGGGAUCGGAUGAUGUUAAUUUUAUAAUGACUCAUUCGGCGCCUUACGGGAAACA
rnacentral:rRNA from 1 species